ensembl:lncRNA serine-rich coiled-coil domain-containing protein 2-like
AUUCCCCUACAAAAAUUCCCAUAUCUCUUUUAAAUAUUUUAAUGAAAAUGACUAAUACAUUUUCCUCUUUCCUGUUGCCACAUCAGUCUGCUCAAGGACGCGCAGUAAGAUGUCAAUGUAAUCACCAGAGGGCCCCAUCUUUGAUUCAACAAAGCGACAGGAUGUCAGAGAGAAGAGGGCAACAAGGCAAUGACAAGGCUACCCAAACAUACUGGAGACCACCAAGCAACCCUAGAUGCAACACGAGUCUAUUCCAAGCACCACGCCACACGAAACCCUAAACGUUAAUGGAGAAGACCCACGACCCCAGUGACUGAGGGAGAGACAGAGAGCUGUUCUGUGUGGCGUGUUACCCACCCCCUUGCUGUCCCCGUGGCAGGCACAGCACCAAGGCUUGACCCGUACCAGCAUGCCCCAGCGCAGGCAGACCUCAAAUACUACAGUCUUUACACCCCAACGAGGACCUCCACCAGGGAAGACUAAUAAGAGCUCGCCCCACCGCGGCCCACAGUAGCUUCAGAAGAUGUAAAUCAGAGGAACCAGCCUAUGAAGGUGCUGACCAACCUUUUAAAGGUCUUUUUCCAGAUGAGUCUAGGCCAGUAGAUCCUGGCGAGGGGAAUCGUUCCUGUAGCACCGCGUUACGCAACCCAGUUUCUGGGACUCCACGGGGGAUAAGUGCGAGAGAUGGUCCAGUAUCAGCAGCUCCGUCUGCAGCACAGCAGGAGUGGAGAAUCCCCGCUGUGACACUAAAGAACACUGUCACCCCUCCAGCUGCUGGUUCCACUUGCUACGACACGCUGCCGCCGAUUCGACUUCACAAGCGCAUGCCUCUUCCUACAUCCAAACCAGGGGGCACUGGUGGCUUUGCUUUGCCGAAGCCGAGGUCUUCCCCAGUAUUGCUGGCAAACCAGUCUAAGCUGCUUCCGCCUCCAACUAAAGGCCUUCCCUGCUUUAACAGCAGGCCGCAGGUGCAGGCCCCCAGUGCUUCGUACUUUGUUGCUUCAGCCUCACAGAACUUCAGAGACUUGCAGGGAUACACAAGGAAGAAAGCAGCCAGAGAACAUUCAAACAACUCGUGUCAGCCACAGCCUGGAUCCCCUUAAGCAGCUCACGCCUCCUCAAGCCAAAGAAUCCCUGCGGAGGUGAAAUUUGUUCAUGAGCACAAAGCUAAAGUUACUCCAAUGUUGACAACAGUCCUUUUUUUUUUUUAUUUAUUUUUUUUUCUCUUGGUAGGUUUUCUUUUUGAGUUGUAACAGAACUAGCUCUAAGUACAGUAUAGGCUGGUACACUGCACUUGUUGAUGUAUUGGUAAACAGCUUAAACGGGAUGCAUUAUUUGUUUUUGUAUGACUCACACAACUCCAUUAGAUACAGAUUGCGUUAUUUAUUAAACACAGUUCAGUUUCUACAGUCCCAUGAGACAUAGACACAUUUAUACUGCUGUCAGAGGGAAAACCAGUAAAUGGCAUAUGGAGAGGGUGAAGAUGGAUAAAUGGCACCAGAAUUAUAAUACUGAAAUUAAAAUCAGUAAAUAAAGAAUAAAAACAGCACUACGUAAAAUAAUGA